rnacentral:lncRNA from 1 species
UUUUGGUUAUAUUCGUCACUGUGUUUUACUGUUUGAAUCUACUGACUUACUACAUUCAAUUACAGCGAACUGUGAUCCAAAGUUUUCUUCCACCAAAUCGUGUGGGACGUUACCAAAGUCUUCUCAAGCGUGGGAGCUUUUUACAGUCUCUCUAAUUACUUUGAUACUAAGAACAAAGAAAGUUUUCUGAUGACUGAUCACA